GAACAGGAUUCAGCUAAAUGGUUCCCACUGGCUGCUUUAAAGACCUAAAGCCUGUGACCAUGUGAAAUGCCGGAAUGCAUAGCUUUCGCCAUCCCUUCAACUUCAGCUCUCCUAAAAUGCAGAUCCUGAAUGCUGAACACUGGCUUGUCCUGGAAACAGAACAUGUUUGAACAUGGAGUACAACCCCUUGCAAACUCUCUACGUUGAUGUCCUUAGAGAGAUGUGACUUCUUUGGCUGAUCCAGGGGAAGGAGAAAUGAGGAUAAGAAGACAAGUGAGUUAAGAUAACUCAUCCCGUGCCUCUCUGUAGGCUUGAAAAAGACAAGGUUUUUUAAGCCAGCUUCAGAAAUUAUUCUCCUGCCCUGACUUAUGCCCCAGGAAGAAUGAAGAGAACAUGAAAAUACUUUUUAAAGGAUUUGCCUGAUGAUGCCACACCCCUAGUCAUAGGUCUCCAAAGGGAAGAGCUGCUUUUUAUAGGGCAAAUAAGCUGGACCUGCCCAAUGAGGAUGGCAGCAGGAACUGACCAUAUGAGAAUGCUUCAGGAUCAGACUGGUAUGAUUAUGCACGAAGUUCUGGCUGCAACACUAUCCUGAGAAAGCAGCUCGUGGAUGGAGAGAACAAUCUCUGUCAUCUCUUGCUAGUGUUCCCUGGAGAAUAGAUGGUCAAAAAGUGAACUCUUUUUCUGGUUGCAUAUCACAUCCAAUUCUUGAGUCUGUGCAUUGCCCACACAACCAUUGCUGUUGCUUCAAGCAAGCAGUCCUAAUGCUUUCCAUCAAAUAAUUGCUGAGCCAGUUGAUCAAUUUCAAUCAAGUGGGGCAGAAGGAAAGAGCUGUGAGACAUGAAGUUUCGGAAGAAAACAGGUUCUUCAGUAUGUCCAAGGGUCCUUGAAGAGUGCUUUUACCAGGGAAAGUGAUCACAACGCCAGGAGCACCCCAGCAGAGAUUGUCGAUAAAUGCAGUAAACAACAGGCUGCUUUCUCUCAGAAGAAGUUAUAUGAAGUU